rnacentral:piRNA from 1 species
UAAUAACCACUAGCUAUGAUAGAGGUUUCCU